AUUGAACGCUGGCGGCAGGCCUAACACAUGCAAGUCGAGCGGAUGAGAAGAGCUUGCUCUUCGAUUCAGCGGCGGACGGGUGAGUAAUGCCUAGGAAUCUGCCUGGUAGUGGGGGACAACGUUUCGAAAGGAACGCUAAUACCGCAUACGUCGUACGGGAGAAAGCAGGGGACAUUCGUGCCUUGGGCUAUCAGAUGAGCCUAGGUCGGAUUAGGUUGUUGGUGAGGUAAUGGCUCACCAAGGUGGCGAUACGGAACUGGUCUGAGAGGAUGAUCAGUCACACUGGAACUGAGACACGGUCCAGACUCCUACGGGAGGCAGCAGUGGGGAAUAUUGGACAAUGGGCGAAAGCCUGAUCCAGCCAUGCCGCGUGUGUGAAGAAGGUCUUCGGAUUGUAAAGCACUUUAAGUUGGGAGGAAGGGCAGCUAGCGAAUACCUGGUUGUUUUGACGUUACCGACAGAGUAAGCACCGGCUAACUCUGUGCCAGCCGCCGCCGUAA
rnacentral:rRNA from 1 species